rnacentral:rRNA from 1 species
GAUGAACGCUGGCGGCGUGCCUAAUACAUGCAAGUCGAGCGAACAGACGAGGAGCUUGCUCCUUCGACGUUAGCGGCGGACGGGUGAGUAACACGUAGGUAACCUACCUAUAAGACUGGGAUAACUUCGGGAAACCGGAGCUAAUACCGGAUAAUAUUUCGAACCGCAUGGUUCGAUAGUGAAAGAUGGCUUUGCUAUCACUUAUAGAUGGACCUGCGCCGUAUUAGCUAGUUGGUAAGGUAACGGCUUACCAAGGCAACGAUACGUAGCCGACCUGAGAGGGUGAUCGGCCACACUGGAACUGAGGCACGGUCCAGACUCCUACGGGAGGCAGCAGUAGGGAAUCUUCCGCAAUGGGCGAAAGCCUGACGGAGCAACGCCGCGUGAGUGAUGAAGGUCUUCGGAUCGUAAAACUCUGUUAUUAGGGAAGAACGAUCGUGUAAGUAACUGUGCACGUCUUGACGGUACCUAAUCAGAAGGCCACGGCUAACUACGUG